rnacentral:lncRNA from 1 species
CAUAAGAGAGGAUAAAUAGAAAAUAUCAGAGGUUAUCCUACUCAAAAGAACACAAAGGCAAUACACGAAGACAGUACUCUUCUGAUGGCGUGCACUCGGAGAUGAGGUUGGAAGAGAGGCUAGUGUUUCCUCAUACAUCAAUGAUUGUAAUUUACACCAUCUGCGAUGGAAACUCGCCAUAUGAAAUCAAGGUUCUGGAAGGAUGAAAUGCUAAAACCAUGAGCUCAAACCCUCCAAACAUUUGGGCUCUUCUUUUAUCCACAUUAGUGGCUUGAAAAGAACUCAGUUUUUUGGAAGUCUGGCUCCAUGAAAUCAAUCCCACCAGUUCUGACAGUCGCAACAAAUUUCAGUAAAGCAAGACCACUGAAACGCCUAAAAGUGAGAGGCGAGACAUAGUAGAGAACACUCGAUAGAUCACUAGAUAACUGAACACCCUACCAAAGAUGCAUGACCGUCUCAAAUUGAGACGAUUCUUUGAUAGCCCGAGGCCAUUGCAGACCUCCAUCAACAACAAACGAUUGAAACCAUUUUCACUUCAAGACCACCUCAAAUAGAAACAGAACCAUUUGCACGACUAAAGAUAACAAACAGAGAAACUGAAGAAGAGAACAAUCCUUAAACUCCAAAAGCAUAUGCCGCUCCAUGCCGUCAAAUACGGGAAGACACAACCAAAACCAGGUGAAGCUCCGAUGUGAUACGACAAACCAAACACCGCCAAGAAACUAAGAGAUCAAAUCUGGAUAUAUGAUAUCAAGAGUACAAGCGGGAUACCCGCACCAUUGAUCGAACAAAUCCGGAGCCUCCAUCGUUAUAGCAGAGAAGAUCAUGGCCCAGGCAAGAAUAUUCAGCAUCAAACGCUCCAACUCCACAACAGCCUUUUGAGUAGCUAUAGAACAUAAGAUUCUCCAGCGACCUCCGUUAGAGAGAUAGAAAAAUAACACAUAACCUUGCUGUUGAAAAACACCACCCCUAACACCAGAGAACGCUAAGACACUACAAUAUCACUAGAUCCGUAUAUGUUGAUUGAAAAGCGUGAAAGAUGUCAAACAAAGGUAAAUGAUAGCGAAGGGAGCCUCUCCUGGCGAUGGCGAGGAGCGCCGAACGCUAGAGAAGCGAGGAUCUGGCCAAGGAAGACGACGGCGGCUGAU